rnacentral:rRNA from 1 species
CGGUUUUUUAAGUCUGAUGUGAAAGCCUUCGGCUCAACCGAAGAAGUGCAUCGGAAACUGGGAAACUUGAGUGCAGAAGAGGACAGUGGAACUCCAUGUGUAGCGGUGAAAUGCGUAGAUAUAUGGAAGAACACCAGUGGCGAAGGCGGCUGUCUGGUCUGUAACUGACGCUGAGGCUCGAAAGUAUGGGUAGCAAACAGGAUUAGAUACCCUGGUAGUCCAUACCGUAAACGAUGAAUGCUAAGUGUUGGAGGGUUUCCGCCCUUCAGUGCUGCAGCUAACGCAUUAAGCAUUCCGCCUGGGGAGUACGGCCGCAAGGCUGAAACUCAAAGGAAUUGACGGGGGCCCGCACAAGCGGUGGAGCAUGUGGUUUAAUUCGAAGCUACGCGAAGAACCUUACCAGGUCUUGACAUACUAUGCAAAUCUAAGAGAUUAGACGUUCCCUUCGGGGACAUGGAUACAGGUGGUGCAUGGUUGUCGUCAGCUCGUGUCGUGAGAUGUUGGGUUAAGUCCCGCAACGAGCGCAACCCUUAUUAUCAGUUGCCAGCAUUAAGUUGGGCACUCUGGUGAGACUGCCGGUGACAAACCGGAGGAAGGUGGGGAUGACGUCAAAUCAUCAUGCCCCUUAUGACCUGGGCUACACACGUGCUACAAUGGAUGGUACAACGAGUUGCGAACUCGCGAGAGUAAGCUAAUCUCUUAAAGCCAUUCUCAGUUCGGAUUGUAGGCUGCAACUCGCCUACAUGAAGUCGGAAUCGCUAGUAAUCGCGGAUCAGCAUGCCGCGGUGAAUACGUUCCCGGGCCUUGUACACACCGCCCGUCACACCAUGAGAGUUUGUAACACCCAAAGUCGGUGGGGUAACCUUUUAGGAACCAGC